ACUUACUAUCAACCAAGAUGCUCUUUCACGGCUAAAGUCGCUCAAUAAGUCCCUGCCUCAGUCCAAAUGUGUGGAAAGUUGCCAUCCUGGAUUUGUCAAGAGGGCUCGAGAAGGAGAGCCAGUUUGCUGCUACGACUGCGUUCCUUGUCCGGAGGGGACCUUCUCCACUCAGGAAGAUACAAAAAAAUGCACCAAGUGCCCAGAUGAUAAAUACCCAAAUGAGGACAGAGUCCAAUGUAUCCCCAAAGUUAUAACCUUCCUGUCUUAUGAAGAACUUCUGGGCAUCAUCCUGGUCUCUUUUGCCCUACUCUUCUUCCUAACCACAGGUCUUGUUUUAAUCAUCUUCAUUAAAUACCAAGAAACUCCCCUUGUCAAAGCCAACAACCGGGACCUCUCCUACAUCCUCCUGGUCUCCCUCCUGCUUUGCUUCUUAUCUCCUCUUCUCUUCAUUGGUCAA